UUUCAGUAGUGUCUGAUAUAUAAAUAUAUCGAUUACAUUUGAGUAUUUCAUAGUCUUUUGUACUGUCUCUAUGUGUUUUUUUAAGAUUUUUAAUGCCGUUCUGUAUUUUGUAUGUGUUUAUCUAACUAUAUAGAUAGCAAAGUACACAGGUUUUAGAGGGGCUUCAACAUGUAUAAUGUAUUUAGUGUCAAACACAUGUUGUAGGAAGUGUGAUUUAGAUUGAGUAAGGUUAGACAAGGGGGACAAGGGAAAGCAUUGAGGAUGUCCAUACUCUGCUUUCCAAAUGGUAACCUCACCCACCGUUUUUAAAACCUGGUGUCCCCUGUGUUCGCUAACGAGGCUCUACCGACCGAAUAAGGGCGGGAUAACCCUAACAUCAUGUACUGAGGAAAUGCGGUACAGACCCAAUGAAGUUUAAGGAAGACUCCUAAACAAGGAGUAUUAGGACUAAUCAUACUUUCUUUAAAGAAAAGACUCCAAUUAAAUGCAAAUAACUCACCAAACAAUUACAAUGACUUGCGAAUUGGUGCAUGGAAUAUCAAAAUAUUGUUACUAGUCGGAAAAAUGUAUGAACUAGUAAACGAACUAAUGCUCUGACGAAUAGACCUAGUUUUGCAGCGUAUGAGGUGGAAAAAACAAAAAACAUUGACGAAACACAACAGUUAGCAGUUGCAAAUCAGCAUUUAAGAAUAAACUUCUCACAACCCUUAUGUGGCUAUGCCUUCCAACUGAAGGAUGUAAGAGGAACAAAGAGAAUAGUUUCUACUUAAUUCUCAGCAUCGCUAGGGACUUAAAUUUGGACUUCGACAUAGAGUGGUGAGAUUGAGUGGUGAGGUAUGAGAUUGAUAUUCACUUCACGCAGUAACAAAUGAAAAUCACUUUAAGCUUGUUAUUCAGAAAAAUGCAUUAUCAUUAAUAUGAUAUUCCAAUAUUUCGCAAUUUAAAUAGAUCUUGUGUUCAUAUAAAAGAAAUACUCGUCUUCAACAAUUGAUGUUAAAACCAGCAGAAAACAAAAUUGGGGUCGUAACUACUACCAACUAAAAAUCCAGGCAUGUCAGUUACUCAAACAAUCUUGAGGUGAUGUCCAAAUACUAGAAGUGAAGAAUGAUCUUAGGAGUCUUGGGAUUUCCAAAUCUAUUCUUUUAAAAACCACUACGAUGGAACCUUUCAAUAAGCAUUGUAUUAACGUUUAUAAAAUACUAAACUUCAACAAAACAUGAGGUGGCAUGAACAAUUCAUUUAGUGAAGUAAUGAAGCAAUGUCAGUUGCAAAUGAGCAUUUAAGGGCUAAGCUUUUUCUGACACUAAACAUUCCAACUGAAGGCUGCGUUGAAAAUGAAGAGAAAAUGUAAUGUAGUGGAGGCAAAUGAAAUCGCAUGAGUUGCCAAGAAUUUAAAUGUAAAAUUGGACUAGUACCUCUUAGUCCAAAAAAGGAUGCGAAUGAUAUAUACUUCAAACAGUCGCAAUUGAAAAUUGUUAUAGACUUGUGAGUCUAACAAAUUAAAAUAUGUCAUCAUUGAUGUUCCGUUCUCGUAUAGUACACAAUACGUAUUCCAAUAAUCUUCAGGUGAAUAAUUUUUAAUUCAAUAUUCUUCAAUUCUAGAUGUAUAAACAAUCAGAAUAGUAAGCUGGGACCGUGUAAAUGAUCUGGUAAAGAUCAAAGUGCAUCAGUCACUCAAACAAUCGUUAGAUCCUGGCCAAACGCCAGGAGUAGAGAAUGCUAUCAUGAAGAUUGCAGAAUAUUGGAACGCUACUGAAGAGACUGAAGAGACUGAAGAGGCUACAGAGGGGUGGUUAAAAUGAAAACAAAAUGAAUGCACACGAGUAAUAAAGGAAAGAAAGAGUGAAAGCUGAGAAUGCAUUUUUAUAGAGAAACUAAAAAAAUAAUCACCGUUUUAACUUACAUUAAACGUAUGUCUGGAUAGACAAAUUCCGUCCAUCCAAGAAGAAAAAAAAUACUUAGCAGUUCAAAAAAACAGUUUAUGAACAACACACAUUUUUUAUUAUUUUUGUUA